rnacentral:lncRNA from 1 species
GGAAGAGAUGGACUGGCAAGGUGACUUCCUGCAAGACCAUGCAUUUGUGGAGCUGCAGAUGGAAGGAAUCUCCAGUGAGGUGGACAUCCAAAACUUGAUCAGAGACACCGAGGAGAAACUCAGACUUAACGCCUGCUGCAUUGAACAGAACCUGAAGGAACUGCAGGCCAAGAUUGGUGAGGCCAGCCUCGGAGAGAGAGUGCCCAGUCCAAUAGAAUGCCUCCAGUUGUUCAGUCAGCGCAACUUAAGCAUCCUGAAGCCAGUGGCUACGGAACAGCAAGAGCUUCUGGACUUCCUUCGAGCCUUGCAAAACUCGCUGAAGGCAGAGGAAGCUUGUGAAGAGGCCGUUCUGCAGUUACUACUGAACAUCUCUUCUCAGUGUG